CUCCGCGGGCCUUGUUAAAGCGUUAUUGUAAGGCUGCUUUAACCAUGUUGAUCGCGGACG
rnacentral:pre_miRNA from 1 species